rnacentral:misc_RNA from 1 species
GAUGAAGAACUUAGCGAAAUGCGAUAAGUAAUGUGAAUUGCAGAAUUCAGUGAAUCAUCGAAUCUUUGAACGCACAUUGCGCCCGCCAGUAUUCUGGCGAGCAUGCCUGUUCGAGCGUCAUUUCAACCAUCAAGCCCCAGGCUUGUGUUGGAGCCCUGCGGCUGCCGCAGCCUCCCAAAACCAGUGGCGGGCUCGCUAUCACACCGAGUGCAGUAGUUUACUCUUCGCUCAGGGCGUGUGGCGGGUGCUAGCCGUGAAACCCCCAACUUCUCAAGGUUGACCUCGGAUCAGGUAGGAAUACCCGCUGAACUUAAGCAUAUCAAUAAGCGGAGGA